GACGUAGGGCGCGAGCGUUGUCCGGAUUUAUUGGGCGUAAAGAGCUCGUAGGCGGCUUGUUGCGUCGGUUGUGAAAGCCCGGGGCUUAACCCCGGGUCUGCAGUCGAUACGGGCAGGCUAGAGUGUGGUAGGGGAGAUCGGAAUUCCUGGUGUAGCGGUGAAAUGCGCAGAUAUCAGGAGGAACACCGGUGGCGAAGGCGGCUCUCUGGACCACAACUGACGCUGAGGCGCGAAAGCCAGGGGAGCAAACGGG
rnacentral:rRNA from 1 species